rnacentral:rRNA from 1 species
GAUGAACGCUGGCGGCGUGCCUAAUACAUGCAAGUCGAGCGAACAGACGAGGAGCUUGCUCCUCUGCCGUUAGCGGCGGACGGGUGAGUAACACGUGGAUAACCUACCUAUAAGACUGGGAUAACUUCGGGAAACCGGAGCUAAUACCGGAUAAUAUAUUGAACCGCAUGGUUCAAUAGUGAAAGACGGUUUUGCUGUCACUUAUAGAUGGAUCCGCGCCGCAUUAGCUAGUUGGUAAGGUAACGGCUUACCAAGGCAACGAUGCGUAGCCGACCUGAGAGGAUGAUCGGCCACACUGGAACUGAGACACGGUCCAGACUCCUACGGGAGGCAGCAGUAGGGAAUCUUCCGCAAUGGGCGAAAGCUUGACGGAGCAACGCCGCGUGAGUGAUGAAGGUCUUCGGAUCGUAAAACUCUGUUAUUAGGGAAGAACAAAUGUGUAAGUAACUAUGCACGUCUUGACGGUACCUAAUCAGAAAGCCACGGCUAACUACGUG